GUUUUCUGAAACAAGAGAUGACUCCAAAAGCUAAACUUAGGGGCAAAAUAUAUUUAAAAAAUGGAAUAGAAUCUAUUUAAAUAUAGGACUAAGAUGAAAUAUUGGGAGAAUUAUGGUUGCAGAACAGAGUAUAAAUGUUUCAGAGGAUAAGUGACUUCCACUUGACCAAGUGAAAAUCGUAGAAUCAAAAUCAGGAGCUGGAGGGAAGAAGGAGGGACCGCUGGCCUUCAGGCCAAGAGAGGACUGAGCCUGACCCGAGGGGAGCCUUUAUUUUUUUUCCCCAAAGACUACGAUCUCUUCAUGAAUUUCAUAAUCUCCUUUCUUAACUUUAGAGAGACUCCUGAACUCAUAUCUCUGUGAAAAGUAAAGAUUUCGCUAUUUUCAGCUCUUCAUCUCUCCGAAGUUCUCUGUGCACAGACGACUUGCACCGAAUGUUAACGUUGGAUGGUGGUCUCUGCUGAGCGUCGGCUCCGUGCCAGGAAGUUCCAGGUGCUGGGAAGACAGCAGAGAACAGAGCAGAAGAAAGUCCUGCCCUCUGGAAGCAGGUAUUGUAAAGGGGAGUGGGCGGGGGAGGGGGGGUUGCUCCCUUCUUUGUACUUUUCUGCAUUGCUUGUCCUGUUUUGCUUGAGAAGGAGCGAGUGUCAUCUUUAUAAAAACAACACGAUGGCCGUUGCUUUCACACAUACCUCAGAGUCUUCCAACAGCCAGCGCUGCAUACCAGUACAUUGCAUUUGAGUCAUUGACACUUUAGCAUAAAUAAGGUGUUUCAGGAAGAUAGUGUGAGGACCCAGAGUCCCUGCAGGUCCCAACCCAGGCAUCUGGAGCCUGGUGCCGGGGAAGUCGGCCUCUCUCAGCUGGAAGAACCAAUCGAGCGCCUCUUGCCCAGAGGUUCCUGCCUCCGCCCUGGGAUCCUGAGCCCUUGAGACCAGCCCAUUCUAGCUGGGACUGGGCCCGGGCUGCUGGGGACCCAGCCAGGCCUUGACACUGUCUGGGACAGACCCAGCCAAGGCUGUCUCCCUGCACGCUGAGGGGUCCCCAGCCCCAUCUGACUCCACAGGCCUCGUCUCCCAUUCCCACCUCUUGAGUGGAGCCCUGACUCCUGGCUCUCUCCAUUUGCACCUUCACUCUAACCACUGGCUAAUCCACCCUUGUCCACACUGCCUGGCCUUUGCACAUGCUUUCUCCUCCACCAGAAGGCCUACCUGCCCUCCUGCCUCACCCCCAGGUCCCAAGCCCCCCUCUGGAAGCCCCCCCGACUGCCCUGGCUGUGAGCACCUGCUGCCACUGGGGGCUCUGCCCACCCCUGAGGUCCGGCGCCCUGCUAGCAGGGGGAGGCAGGAAGACGAGUGGGGGAGACUGGGCCUUGGCCUCUUCCCAGCUGGGCAGCCUCAGCCAGGCUCUUGUCCUGGCUGCUUCCUCAUCUCAAACACAGGGACGUGGUAGUCUUCCUCACGGCUCCUUAAAAUGGAACAGAGAAGAUCAUGUGCACCUCUAAGGGUUGUUUAAAGAAUGACAACGAGAUGUUAGCUUAAAGAGGAAGGAAGUGAAAGGGGAAAUCGUCAAGCCUGCUAAGGGAGGAAAGGUGAUCAAAGUUCAAUUUUGGAAAAAGUCUUACUUUCCUGGGAAGCCGGAGGCUCAGUCUGGAGCCAGCUGAGGGUCUGCGGGGGCCACGAGGUCGUCAGGCACCCGGAGGGUUGUGGGCAGCGCAGGGUCCUGGGCCUGCUGAGUGGGACGCCCUCCCCACCGUCCACCUGCUCCCACACAUGCUCCCCCAGAUCAUACCCUCUGUGAGCACACUGAACCCCCAGCACCCGGUGGUGCCAGUGACUCUCAGGGCAGGCGGGGGUGAGGCUGGGGCCGUCACCCCUGUCAGGAAACCAUGGCGUGAACUUUCCCUCAACUGCGCCCUGGCUGCUGUGGGGGCGGUGGGGAGCUGGCUCGCACCCCUAACAAGCACACGGCAGGUGGCAGGCUGCCACAGCUGAGCCACUGCGCCUCCCUGCAGACAGCGCAGGGCACCUCUGCCACCCAGCCCUGUCUCUGGUCUGCACCCCUGUACUUCCCACUGGACAAAGCUUAAGUCGCCUUCACCUUUAUUGAACACCUGCUCUGUGUACCAGCUGCUCGUCUCACCUGUGAGCAACCCUGAGGCCAGAUGAGGAAGAUAAGCUGGCAGAUGAGGACGGAUGCUGGGGAGGUGAGGGCACCAGCCCAGGCUGUGGGGCCGGCAAGGGGCCAGGGUCCUUGGACCAGGCAUGAGGCGUGGGGCUGAGAACAAGCUAGCCGAGGCCUCGUCACCAGGAGAUUGGAUUCUAGAAGAAGCUCACACCCAGAUGAAAAGAACUCCCAAAUCCAACCAUGGUGAGGCCAGGUGGAGACCACACGGGAACUGCAUGAUGGGACCAGACUUUAUGGAGCUCUGAGAGGCCCUGGAGCCAAAAAGACAGGGCUGCUCGGAGGAUUACCUAAGACCCUGCACGUAAAGCUCUUAGCAUGCUGCUGGCUCAUGGCAAGUACUCAGUGAAUGUUGGCCAGUACGAUCAUUUUCAUCAUCAUUACUGUCAGCCUGACCACCUUACAAUCUUCUGUUGACAUAGGAUUUCGCUGCCGAGUUUGCAUUUGUGUUUAUGAUUGUGUUGGCAUCCGGCAGUCCUUUUUAAUUGCUGCUGGCUAACAAGAAAAGAAGAGAGGCGGAUUUAAUGCGUAAAUGAUGCGUUGAAGCCAAGUGAAGGCCAAGUGAUGUAACAGCUCACUGUGCAAACACAAGUACUGCCGUAAUUCAAACUAGAGAAAAGUGGUGGGAGAGUUGAGUCAUUCCCCAGCACCCGGCAUCCUCCACAGGCACGUCACACUCAAAGGGAGGGCUGCUCUCCUUGGUCAGCCCCCUGUCGCUGCGGGUGGCAAUUUGGUUCUAGCCAACAACAUCAUCCUUCCCAUUUAACCAGUGUUGUCAGUGUGUUGUAUCGAGUUUAUGGUUUUGUUUAUGUUUACUAUGUGAAUUUCUCCAGAAUGUAUUGCUAAGCAAAAAACAGAUUGUAAUAGCUACCUUUUGGUAAAAGAGGGGAGUAAAAGAAGAGAGAGGGAGAUAAAUAUGUGUGU